AUUGAACGCUGGCGGCAUGCCUUACACAUGCAAGUCGAACGGCAGCACGGGUUUUUGCACGUGGUGGAGUGGGGCGCACGGGUGUGUUACACAUGAGCGCACGCCCUGUUGGGGGGUAGAGCGCCGCGAAAGCCGUUAUUAUACCACAUGCGAUCAACGUGAGAAAGCGGGGGACAAACGGCCCUCGCGCUUGAGGGUUGGCCGAUGGCGGAUUAGCUAGUUGGUGGGGUAAAGGCCUACCAAGGCGACGAUCCGUAGCUGGUCUGAGAGGACGACCAGCCACACUGGGACUGAGACACGGCCCAGACUCCUACGGGAGGCAGCAGUGGGGAAUUUUGGACAAUGGGGGAAAGCCUGAUCCAGCAAUGCCGCGUGUGGGAAGAAGGCCUUCGGGUUGUAAAGCGCUUUUGUCCGGGAAGAAAUCCUUUGCGCUAAUACGGCGGGGGGAUGACGGUACCGGAAGAAUAAGCACCGGCUAACUACGUG
rnacentral:rRNA from 1 species